UAUAUCUGUCUGUGUUGGGGGAUGGGACACAUGUGAACACAAAUGCGUGUGCCCUCGGAGACCAGAAGGUAUUGGAUCAUCUGGGGUUGAGUUACACGCAGCUGUGACCUCAUAGAGAGGGGCACUGGGAACCAGACUCCCGUCCUCUGGAAGAGCAGCCCACGCUCUUGACCCUGGACCCAUCUCCUCAGCCCUGAUCAUUGUUUGGUUGUUCGGCUUUAGUCUCCGUUUCAUUAAUUUCUGCCUUGAUCUUAAUUAUUUCUUGCCAUCUGCUGCUUUGGAGUUCAGAUUGUUUUUGUCCAUUCUAAAACCUCCAAGUGCCUCCUUAGAUGAUCAGGACUGUGUCUGAUUUUUACCUUGUACAGACUUUCACUCUAUUCUCUCUGGGUUGUAGCGUAGGUGCUCACAGCCAUACACCUCCUUCCUAGAGCUGCUUUCGUCAACCCCGAAGCAUCUGGUAGGUCAGGCUUCCAUGACACAUUUAAAUGGCUGUUAAACCUGACUUUUGGUUCUUCUUUAGAGGCACACAGAUGGGUCUCCAUCCAUGUUCUCCCAAGGUCGGUUGUUUGAGGUGUCCUAGUUUCCAGACCCUUAAUACAUACCUCUCUACCCCACAUACGACCUCACUUCGUCACUGAAGUUACAUCUGCAAGCUGGGUACGAAAUCCUUCUGUAUCCCCAGGAGACACAGGGGGUUCAUUCCCAGAUCCCCAACAGACCCCUGAAGCUGCAGUCAGUGCCGUGUGUCCUAUGCACUACUACACGUGCACACAGAUGAUAAAGUUCAAUUUAUAAAUGAGCCACAGUAAAAGAAUGAUAGCCGUAACCAAAUCAUAGCGGUCACAGUAACAAUGUACUGUCGUAAAAAGUUAUUUAAAACUUAUGGAUUAUCUCUAGAAUUUCCCACUGAAUAUUUUUCCAUCAUGGUUGACCGUGGAUAACUGGUACUCAGAAAAGGGUUGUAAUUGUUUUUAUGUGUGAGGAAAAACUCACUCUGGGCAUGGUGACACACACUUGUCAUCCCUACACUGGAGGCACAGAGUCCGGAACGUGAGACGUUCAUCACCGUUGACUACAAUACCGAGUUUGAAGCCAAGCCGGGGCUGUACAAGACUCUGUGUCCAAACCAACAGACGAGGACUCUGGGGCUCAAGGUUACAGUGUUUGUCUGCGUGUGGACGGCUGGGAAGUGAGAGAACACGGCAGGAAAUCGAGGCAGGAAUUCUACCUUUACCUGGCCUUUCCUUCUCCUCUCAUCCAUCUUGCCACAAGGAUUCCCGGAAGAAGAGUCCAUCUCUUUUACCAGGGAUCUCUGUGGGUGGUGCCUUCUCUGGACGGUCACUCACAUGGAAGGAGUCACGGAGGGAGCCGUAUGCUGGGAGCCGUACGCUGGAGACAUUGAAGGGUUUACUCCAGCUGCUCCUGUGGCCUCCCAGAGCCCAGUGUGUCUGUCCUGGGACCAAGUAACCGUCAGGUUACCCCCAUCCCCCAGGCUUCUGCAGCAGCCACAGGAUGGAGCCUCAGCUCCUGCAUUGGCUCCUUGUCUUUUCUGUCCUUUGUUCUAACUCAGUGGUUGGUCAUAAACUCUUGUAACUCAGGUAACCCCAGAA